rnacentral:rRNA from 1 species
UCCUACGGGAGGCAGCAGUGGGGAAUAUUGGACAAUGGGCGAAAGCCUGAUCCAGCAAUGCCGCGUGGGUGAAGAAGGUCUUCGGAUUGUAAAGCCCUUUCGGCGGGGACGAUGAUGACGGUACCCGCAGAAGAAGCCCCGGCUAACUUCGUGCCAGCAGCCGCGGUAAUACGAAGGGGGCUAGCGUUGCUCGGAAUGACUGGGCGUAGAGGGCGCGUAGGCGGUUUAUAUAGUCAGGCGUGAAAUUCCUGGGCUCAACCUGGGGACUGCGCUUGAUACGUGUAGACUUGAGUGAGGAAGAGGGUCGUGGAAUUCCCAGUGUAGAGGUGAAAUUCGUAGAUAUUGGGAAGAACACCGGUGGCGAAGGCGGCGACCUGGUCCUCCACUGACGCUGAGGCGCGAAAGCGUGGGGAGCAAACAGGAUUAGAUACCCUGGUAGUCCACGCCGUAAACGAUGUGCGCUGGAUGUUGGGCGGCUUAGCCGCUCAGUGUCGUAGCUAACGCGAUAAGC